UGCCUUUAGCCCCCAAGUAUUAAAGGUAACGCCUGCCCAGUGAUAUUUAAACGGCCGCGGGAUCCUCCACCGUGCAAAGGUAGCAUAAUCACUUGUCCCCUAAAUAGUGACUAGUAUGAAUGGCCAAAUGAAGUUUUUACUGUCUCUUGUAGCCAAUCAAUGAAACUAUACUACCAGUACAAAAACUGGUAUAAUAACAUAAGACGAAAAGACCCUGUGGAACUUCAAGCACCCUUCACCAAAUGAUACAACUGCUUUUAGUUGGGGCAACUUUGGAAAUAAACAAAACUUCCAAUAACUAACACCUAGAUAUACACAUCUACCCACACAAUUGACCCAGCACCGCUGAUCAAAGAACCAAGCUACCCCAGGGAUAACAGCGCCAUCCCCUCCUAGAGCCCAAAUCGACGAGCGGGGUUUACGACCUCGAUGUUGGAUCAGGGCACCCAAACAGUGCAACCGCGGUUAAUGGUUUGUUUGUUCAACAAUUAAAGCCCU
rnacentral:rRNA from 1 species